rnacentral:lncRNA from 1 species
UAAAGGUUCACAUUUUCUGGGUUCAAUUUCCCUGGUUGGUCCUUUGUAGCAUCAUGAGCUAAUAGAGUUACCAGAUGAAGUCAUAAUCAUUGUGAAUAUGUAACUUCAUUUGUAAACCAUCAACAUAAAUGUUAUCUGUAUUACAGAGAUGCGAAGGUGAGGCACAGAGAUAUUGACAUUAAAAUCAUCCAGUAGCUAUCAGUGUGUCAGAUUUGGGAACCAGUUACUUGGUGAUGGGGAAAUCGAGGAGAGACUUACUGUUGUCUUACCUGAGACCAGACUGUUGACAAACUGGAGGUGUUCCUGAAGAUUGCAUGAUGUGACAGGUGCUCCCACAGAAGCUGCUGUUUCUAUCACGCUGUUCCUACUGCUCCUGCUGGGUGUCUGCUUGCGAUCUUUAUCUCAGAUCCCACACUUUGAAAAGAGAUUCUAAUCAUUGCAACCACAACUGUUGGAACCAUAAUCACCAUCAUCACAAACUAGCUCCCAUUAAUAGCCAUUUAAGGAUCUUCUGUGUCUGUUAAACAUCAUGAUUUCCAUCUUCAUCAAUUAAAUUUGUAUUGUGUUCUCAAACCCAUUUUAUUAAAUUGUAACAUUUUGUAACAUGGUUCUG